AUGGGGAAGAGGCUGAGGUCGACACGGCUGCCACCCGCGGCGGACACACAGCAGUCCAAGCGAUCCAGCAAGGCGGCGGCGAUGUCCGACUCUGACGGCGACGAGAUUGACGCCUUCCCCAAGCAGCGGGACGCCAUCCCCCUCGACGCCGACGACUCGAUUCAUCCAGAGAAGGAGGAUCCGGUGCAGCCUGUCAACGAUCUCGAGGGUGUUUCCGGCCAUGAAACUGAUAAUGGCGAAGAAGGCAAGGACGGCGAUGGAAGUGAUGACAGCGAAGGAGGUAAGCACCGCGACGCGGGCGCAGAUAGUUACGAGGUAUGGGACAAAAUAUAUAUGGCAAGAAUCAAGAGAGCGAACAAGGCAAUCCAACAAAUUUUUGCCGGUGAUGAUAGUUCGGGUGAAUUUGAUUGGGGUAGCGGAAAUACAUUAUACUAUGAUGGCGAUGAGCAUGAUGCUGAUGAUGUUGACUGUGAAGAGAUAAGGAGGAUACAAGUAGAGAAGAACAGUAAGCUGUCAGUGAAAUAUUUCAGAUUAGACGACGAUGAUGAAAGUGAUGAUGACGAGGGCAAAUCUAGCAAUUUACUGGUUCUGGACAAAGUAAAACGGGGUGCUGAAGCAGCCAAAUUGACAAAGAAUGGGCCUUCUAAUGGGCACCAUGAAAUUGCCAAAAGGAAGAGCAAGGAUGAAGGAAAAAGGGCUGAGAAGGGGUUGAAGGAACAAGGGUUGAAGCCAAAGUUGUCAAAAACCAGGGCAACCAAUACUAGGAUAAACCUGCAGACAUUGGAUGACUUUGAUGAUGAAGUGCAGAAAAAUAGUCAAGUGAUCAAACCUAGAAAGCUUCUGGUGAAUGCCACUGGCUCAAAUAGAAACAAGUUCAAGUCUGUUUCUGGUGAUGAUGACAUUUCAAAGCGAGAUGAGAUUGGUGAAAGACGUCGAAAACACGAACUACGUGUUCUUGCUCGGGUAGGAACCAAUACACGUGGAGACAACAAGGGCAAUGAUGAUGAAGCGUCGGAGUCUGAAGAUGAAUUCUACAAAGAUGUCAAAAGGCAGAGGACCGAAAAGCGCUUGCGCAAAGAACAGAGCGCCCCUAUCACCGGGCCGUUGGCAGAAGAAGGCGAAGGAGAUGGCAAGAGGAGGGGGAUCUCGCGCCAGAUCGAGAAAAACCGAGGGCUGACUCGCUCCAGAAACAGGAAGCUCAAGAACCCACGGAAGAAAUACAGGGCUAAGAGUGAGAAACAGGGACUUAAGUGGAGAAGUCAGGGGCAUGGCGUGAAGAAGGCCUCCGGUCCAUACGGAGGAGAAAUGUCUGGCAUUAAUCCGAACGUCAGCCGUAGUGUUAGGUUCAAGGGUUGA
rnacentral:rRNA from 1 species